UCCUGGCUCAGAACGAACGCUGGCGGCAUGGAUUAGGCAUGCAAGUCGAACGGAUGCAGCAACGCAUUAGUGGCGAAAGGGUGAGGAACGCGUGAGUAACCUGCCCCCAAGUUGGGAAUAACAGUUGGAAACGACUGCUAAUACCUGAUGCGAUUGUUUUUCGGCAUCGAGAAACAAUUAAAGAUUUAUCGCUUGGGGAUGGGCUCGCGUCCCAUUAGGUAGUUGGUGAGGUAACGGCUCACCAAGCCGACGAUGGGUAGCUGGUCUGAGAGGAUGGUCAGCCACACUGGGACUGAGACACUGCCCAGACUCCUACGGGAGGCUGCAGUCGAGAAUCUUCCGCAAUGCGCGAAAGCGUGACGGAGCAAAAUGCCGCGUGCCGGAUGAAGGUCUUCGGAUCGUAAACGGCUGUCAGAUGGGACGAAUAAAGUGACGGUACCAUCAAAGGAAGCCACGGCUAACUACGUGCCAGCAGCGGC
rnacentral:rRNA from 1 species